CCAGUCGUUCCACUUGUCGGCUUGUUGCUGCGGGGGAAGGCAGCUCCGCGAACAGAGUUGAAAGGGAGGCGCAGGCGCUUGUUCAAAUCCAGCCCCCGUUUUUUCAGGGGACGUGGUUCUAAUUAUUUCUCUUGAGAAGCCCGCGCGUUGCUGAUGUUGCCGUAGAGAUCUUAAAGUGGUCAUGCAAAACAGAGCUCAAGCUACUUCAUUUCUGCUUUUGUUGUUUAACCCCUUGCAAGAGUUCAGAUGGAACAGAAGCAAGAAAUGAGAGAUGAUAUGCCAGGAGAAACAUAAGAGUAAGUUAAAUGCUUUUGGAUUGGGAUUCUUAAGAGGUAUGUCUAGUAAAAUAAGAGAUAUGUGUAGCUUUGGAUUAUUUUCUUCAAUAAACGAAUGAACAAGUUUAAUUU